UCUAUUUCAACUAUUGUUUACUCUUGUUAAUGUUUGUUAGGAUACAUUUCUUGAAUGUUACUGCUCUCAUGCAAGUGGCUCAUUGUACAUUUAGAUGGUAGUGUUAGUAACUCUUCAGUUUUUCUUGCAUGUUUCAUGAAAACUACUGAGUUUCUGAAACUCCUUGCUCCUUCGAAUCAGCUAUGAAACAGAGGUGACUUGUCCCUGAUCACAUGCAAAGCUGAAGGCAGAGCUGGGAAUGGGGCUCAGAUGUCCAGCAUGGACAUCGUUUUAUGGAUGGGCUGUCACAAAAGGCUGUGAGAAAACUACAAGUGCCUCACUUCACCACUUGUCCAGGAUCCCCAGAAUCUGUCUUCCUUCAAAACCCAAGCCCAGUGCACUGUUAGUGAUGAAACUCUGCAACGGAAUGCUUUGAUGAGGCUGUGAUCUUGGAAGGAUACAGAAAGAGAUGGGCUGUUUCAGGCGGAUCACAAGGAAAUCCUGGUUUAUAAAGGUCAGACGAUUGCUGUGUGCCAUGGAGUGACCUCAGCUCAUCUAUAUUUUAACAUCCUUGUUGGCCAUGGUCAGGUGUCUCCUUAGCCUCACUUCAACCCAGAUUGAUUUGAUCUGAGCCCAGGACUUCUGACUGCGGCUGAAAGGCAAAAGGCAAGCCCCUGCUGUUCCUCUAGGCUUCAAGCAGGAUGAAGUGCAGAAGAAGAAAUAUAAUGAUGGCAAGUAGGCUGUGGGAAUGACGCCGCUUAUUGAUACUCCAGGUAUGAAAGAACCCACUAACGAGCAAUUUAUAAAAGACACUUUUGAGCCAUUUUGAAGGAAAUCACUAACUGCUGUGAGCAGGAAAGUGCAGACAGCUUCAUGCAAGGAUGAGCUGCUGCCCAGCAGCUGGCCUUUGCAGUUGUGAGCUAUGCAAGAAACACAAGCAGCUCUUUCCACAUCCACACCCUCCUCUGUGGAUGUCUGGCAGCAGGUAUUUACCCUCUGCAGAAUCCUGCCAGUCACCCACAUCAUGUGGGCAGAGCUAAGGUUGCACAGAGGUCUAAGCUAGCUGGCAUCCCUGUCUUCUACAGCUGGGCAGCAAUGAGGUAUCUUUCUUUGUAUGAGCGGAACAUCUCUAGUAGGCAUGUGGA